rnacentral:rRNA from 1 species
UAAGGAUUAUAGUUAAAAUUAAAAUAUUUGGCGGCUAUUUAUAUUUAAAGGGAUUUGCCGUAUCGACGCAGCUCGCUAAGAACUUUUUUUUUUAUGUAUACCGUCAUUUAGAUAAUUUUUACAAAAUUAAUUAUGGCAGUAACAUCCAUGAUGUUAGAUCAAGGUGCAGAAAUAGAUAGGGUAAGGUUAAUGACAAUAAUUAAUAUUAAACAGUAAGUUAAUAAGUAAACUAAAUUGGUGGAUUUAAUUGUAAUUUUAAUAAUUUGAAAAAAAUAGGUAGUGUACACAUCGCCCG